rnacentral:rRNA from 1 species
AUACGGAGGGUGCAAGCGUUAUCCGGAAUCACUGGGUUUAAAGGGUGCGUAGGCGGCUUAGUAAGUCAGUGGUGAAAGGCUGUGGCUUAACCAUGGAAUUGCCAUUGAUACUGCAGAGCUUGAAUGAGGUUGAGGUUGGCGGAAUGUGACAUGUAGCGGUGAAAUGCUUAGAUAUGUCAUGGAACACCGAUUGCGAAGGCAGCUGACUGGACCUAUAUUGACGCUGAGGCACGAAAGCGUGGGGAGCGAACAGGAUUAGAUACCCUGGUAGUCCACGCCCUAAACGAUGCUUACUCGUUGUUUGACUGAAAAGUUGAGUGACUAAGAGAAAUCGAUAAGUAAGCCACCUGGGGAGUACGACCGCAAGGUUGAA